GACGAACGCUGGCGGCAUGCCUAAUACAUGCAAGUCGAGCGGACUUGAUGAGAAGCUUGCUUCUCAGAUAGUUAGCGGCGGACGGGUGAGUAACACGUAGGCAACCUGCCCUCAAGCUUGGGACAACUACCGGAAACGGUAGCUAAUACCGAAUACUUGUUUUCUUCGCCUGAAGGAAACUGGAAAGACGGAGUAAUCUGGCACUUGGGGCUGGGCCUGCGGCGCAGUAGCUAGUUGGUGAGGUAACGGCUCACCAAGGCGACGAUGCGUAGCCGACCUGAGAGGGUGAUCGGCCACACUGGGACUGAGACACGGCCCAGACUCCUACGGGAGGCAGCAGUAGGGAAUCUUCCGCAAUGGGCGAAAGCCUGACGGAGCAAUGCCGCGUGAGUGAUGAAGGUUUUCGGAUCGUAAAGCUCUGUUGCCAGGGAAGAACGCUUGGGAGAGUAACUGCUCCCAAGGUGACGGUACCUGAGUAGAAAGCCACGGCUAACUACGUGCCAGCCGCCGCCGUAA
rnacentral:rRNA from 1 species